UUGUCAAUAAAUAAAUGCAGAGGCUCCAGCAUGGCAGUGGGGAGCACAGACCACUGGCUACAUGAAGGUGAGAGAUCACCCUGCAACUUCCUCACUCCUCACCCCCAGAACACAGACUCAGUGGUAAGGCUGCACCUGACUCUGAAACAGCACAAGGCUUGGGCCUGCCCUAGAAAUACCCUAGGGCUCUGCCCCUUUAUGCCAGGCGCACCACGUGUGGGGCAGGCAGGCUCAACCAGGCAGGAUCCAAGUGUGGAGGGGGUUAGUGUGGGGAGAUCCAAGUAUGGGGUAUCUGGGUAUGGAUGGCUUGAUUUG